CAGCAGCCGCGGGAAUACGAAGGGGGCUAGCGUUGUUCGGAAUUACUGGGCGUAAAGCGCACGCAGGCGGCUCGAUAAAUUAGAAGUGAAAGCCUUGGGCUUAACCUGAAAAUUGCUUUUAAGACUGUCGAGCUAGAAUCCAGAAGAGGGUAGUGGAAUUCCGAGUGUAGAGGUGAAAUUCGUAGAUAUUCGGAAGAACACCAGUGGCGAAGGCGACUACCUGGUCUGGCAUUGACGCUCAUGUGCGAAAGCGUGGGGAGCAAACAGGAUUAGAUACCCGAGUAGUCCCUGUCUCUUAUAC
rnacentral:rRNA from 1 species